CUGAUUUGUCAGGAUAAAAAUAUUAUUGUAUUGUAUUAAUAUAGACAUUCCUGCAGUUUAUUUUAAUUGAUCACCUUUCCUCUCAAAGUAGAACUUAAGCUGGGCAAUAAGUGGUGAAAUACUGAAGUUCUGACCCUGUUACUAAAGCUGCUGCCCAAAGACCUUCCCCCAUCAAUCAGAGUCAUCUGCAGCACCUGAGCUCUAAUUGCUGCACUGAUGCCACCUGGGUGUUGUGUUGCUAACCAUUGGGACAGGAGGCUGGCUGUUCUGCAUCACUUUGAAACUGGCGGAGCUAAUUUCCACCAAAUAAAGGGGAGCCCAGGACUGGGACAGUGGUGUCUGCUUGGGAGACCUGAAGCUAGAAUGUCUUGAACCGAGUUACGUUCAAAUUUCAGUAGAAUUUAAACCUUGUUUUGGCACUGAUGAGUUUGAAUUUAUUUUCAAGACUGCUGUGUUUACCUGCAGGAGUUAGAUAUGUUUUCCUCAGUGCUGUGUGUGAG
ensembl:lncRNA